rfam:Triticum aestivum genome assembly, contig: Triticum_aestivum_CS42_TGACv1_scaffold_321555_4BL
AUAGUACUCCCUCCGUCCGAAAAUACUUGUCGGAGAAAUGGAUAAAAAUGGAUGUAUCUAGAACUAAAAUGCAUCUAGCUACAUCCAUUUCUCCGACAAGUAUUUCCGGAUGAAGGGAGUAUCAU